rnacentral:rRNA from 1 species
AACUUUCAACAACGGAUCUCUUGGCUCUCGCAUCGAUGAAGAACGCAGCGAAAUGCGAUAAGUAAUGUGAAUUGCAGAAUUCAGUGAAUCAUCGAAUCUUUGAACGCAUCUUGCGUCUUUUGGUAUUCCGAAAGGCAUGCUUGUUUGAGUGUCAU